AAGGUGGGUAUGUUAAUAGCAUACUCAUUUGACGUUAGCUGCAGAAGAAGCACCGGCUAACUCCGUGCCAGCAGCCGCGGUAAUACGAAGGGUGCGAGCGUUAAUCGGAAUUACUGGGCGUAAAGCGCAUGCAGGUGGUUGUUAAGUCAGAUGUGAAAGCCCGGGGCUCAACCUCGGAAUUGCAUUUGAAAACUGGCAAACUAGAGUACUGUAGAGGGGGUAGGAAUUUCAGGUGUAGCGGUGAAAUAGCGUAGAGAUCUGAAGGAAUACCGGUGGCGAAGGCGGCCCCCUGGACAGAUACUGACACUCAGAUGCGAAAGCGUGGGGAGCAAACAGGAUUAGAUACCCUGGUAG
rnacentral:rRNA from 1 species